rnacentral:rRNA from 2 species
CUCACUGACCUAGAGCAUAAAGCCCACAAAUUUUGAGGGCUUAAAGCUAUUACCGAAACUUCAAACAAAAAAUAUAUUAAGAUUAUUUUGUGGUAGCAGAACAUUCCGUAGGUUAUAAAAGCUUUAGUGUAAACUAUUGUGAAGAUAUCGGAAAUGAGAAUACUUGCAUGAGUAGCACAAAACAAUGAUAAGCGUUGUGGCUGUAAGUCUAAGGUUUCCGAUCUAAAGUAAAACUUGGUCGGCAGAAGUCUCUACUUCUAUAAAAAACGGUCCCUAAGCGGUCAAGCCAAGGCUUGUUGUGAUGGGUAAGAUUAUGCUGUGAUAAGUAACUGACGAAAAAUUCACUUUAUUUUUAAUAAAAUUAAAGGUAAAUCAUUUUUUCCAAGAAAAAGGCUCUUUUUUAAACCGU